CCGCUUAGACGGGCUUUGUGGGCUAAUGCCAGCUGUUCUACAGAUUCUGGAUCGCUGGCAAAGCCAAUGCGAGUGUACAGUGUGGUGAUGUUUGGUACUUUAAGCCAGUCCAUGUAUUCACAGAUCACUGGGAAGUGAGUGAAAGGCAUGGCUUGGUACAGGACCAUGUAUGCGCCACCAAACAGAGCCAACAAGGCAUUGUCGGCAAC
rnacentral:lncRNA from 1 species